rnacentral:rRNA from 1 species
ACGCUGGCGGCGUGCCUAAUACAUGCAAGUAGAACGCUGAAGGAGGAGCUUGCUUCUCCGGAUGAGUUGCGAACGGGUGAGUAACGCGUAGGUAACCUGCCUGGUAGCGGGGGAUAACUAUUGGAAACGAUAGCUAAUACCGCAUAAGAGUAGAUGUUGCAUGACAUUUGCUUAAAAGGUGCAAUUGCAUCACUACCAGAUGGACCUGCGUUGUAUUAGCUAGUUGGUGGGGUAACGGCUCACCAAGGCGACGAUACAUAGCCGACCUGAGAGGGUGAUCGGCCACACUGGGACUGAGACACGGCCCAGACUCCUACGGGAGGCAGCAGUAGGGAAUCUUCGGCAAUGGACGGAAGUCUGACCGAGCAACGCCGCGUGAGUGAAGAAGGUUUUCGGAUCGUAAAGCUCUGUUGUAAGAGAAGAACGAGUGUGAGAGUGGAAAGUUCACACUGUGACGGUAUCUUACCAGAAAGGGACGGCUAACUACGUGCCAGCAGCCGCGGUAAUACGUAGGUCCCGAGCGUUGUCCGGAUUUAUUGGGCGUAAAGCGAGCGCAGGCGGUUAGAUAAGUCUGAAGUUAAAGGCUGUGGCUUAACCAUAGUACGCUUUGGAAACUGUUUAACUUGAGUGCAAGAGGGGAGAGUGGAAUUCCAUGUGUAGCGGUGAAAUGCGUAGAUAUAUGGAGGAACACCGGUGGCGAAAGCGGCUCUCUGGCUUGUAACUGACGCUGAGGCUCGAAAGCGUGGGGAGCGAACAGGAUUAGAUACCCUGGUAGUCCACGCCGUAAACGAUGAGUGCUAGGUGUUAGACCCUUUCCGGGGUUUAGUGCCGCAGCUAACGCAUUAAGCACUCCGCCUGGGGAGUACGACCGCAAGGUUGAAACUCAAAGGAAUUGACGGGGGCCCGCAC